rnacentral:rRNA from 1 species
CUGCGAGUGAAGCGGGAAAAGCUCAAAUUUGAAAUCUGGCAGUAUUUGUUUUGCUGUCCGAGUUGUAAUCUAGAGAAGUGUUACCUGUGCUGGACCGUGUACAAGUCUCCUGGAAUGGGGCAUCAUAGAGGGUGAGAAUCCCGUCUUUGACACGGACUACCUGUACGCUGUGGUGCGCUCUCAAAGAGUCGAGUUGUUUGGGAAUGCAGCUCAAAACGGGUGGUAAAUGCCAUCUAAAGCUAAAUAUUGGCGAGAGACCGAUAGCGAACAAGUACCGUGAGGGAAAGANGAAAAGAACUUUGGAAAGAGAGUUAAACAGUACGUGAAAUUGCUGAAAGGGAAACGCUUGAAGUCAGUCGCGUUGGCUAGAAAUCAGCCUUGCUUUUGCUUGGUGUACUUUCUGGAUUUUUUCAACGGGUCAGCAUCAAUUUCGACCAUUGGANAAAGUCUUUGGGAAUGUGGCAUCUUUUUGGAUGUGUUAUAGCCCAUUGUCGCAUGCAGUGGUUGGGAUUGAGGAACUCAGCACGCCUGCAAAGGCCGGGUUUCGACCACGCUUUCCGUGCUUNNGAUGCUGGCAUAAUGGCUUUAAUCGACCCGUCUUGAAACACGGACCAA